rnacentral:tmRNA from 1 species
AUGGUUGACAUCUCGGCAAUAUGGUGCUAUAAAUAUAGAGUAAUUGUUGACGUCAUUGUAUGUCACAAGAGCAGGACCCGGGUGCAAUUCCCGGCUACUCCACCAAUUCAAUACACCCCCUACGGGGUAGAAUUAGGAUCGACUGGCUUGUUAAGAAUGAAAGAGAUUACCGGGUGGGAACUCCGUUAACGUAACAAAACUAUAAAUGCAAACGAUAAUUUUGCAUCUGAGGAUUAUGCACUAGCGGCAUAAUUUGACGGGGUUGGCAACUUACCUGGCAACAGAAAAGUUGCACC